rnacentral:tRNA from 1 species
GGGGAUUUAGCUCAGCGGUAGAGCGCUUGCCUAGCAAACGCAAGGCCCUGGGUUCGGUUCCCAGCUCCG